AACGUAGGGGGCCAGCGUUGCUCGGAAUUACUGGGCGUAAAGGGUGCGUAGGCUGCGCAGCAAGUUGGGUGUGAAAUCCCUCGGCUUAACCGAGGAACUGCGCCCAAAACUGCUGUGCUCGAGGGAGAUAGAGGUGAGCGGAACUUAGGGUGGAGCGGUGAAAUGCGUUGAUAUCCUAAGGAACACCGGUGGCGAAAGCGGCUCACUGGAUCUCUUCUGACGCUGAGGCACGAAAGCUAGGGUAGCGAACGGG
rnacentral:rRNA from 1 species